rnacentral:rRNA from 1 species
UACGAAGGGGGCAAGCGUUGUUCGGAUUUACUGGGCGUAAAGGGCUCGUAGGUGGCCAACUAAGUCAGACGUGAAAUCCCUCGGCUUAACCGGGGAACUGCGUCUGAUACUGGAUGGCUUGAGGUUGGGAGAGGGAUGCGGAAUUCCAGGUGUAGCGGUGAAAUGCGUAGAUAUCUGGAGGAACACCGGUGGCGAAGGCGGCAUCCUGGACCGGCAUUGACGCUGAGGAGCGAAAGCCAGGGGAGCAAACGGG